rnacentral:rRNA from 1 species
CUGGCUCAGGAUGAACGCUGGCGGCGUGCUUAACACAUGCAAGUCGAACGGUGAACACGGAGCUUGCUCUGUGGGAUCAGUGGCGAACGGGUGAGUAACACGUGAGCAACCUGCCCCUGACUCUGGGAUAAGCGCUGGAAACGGCGUCUAAUACUGGAUAUGUGACGUGACCGCAUGGUCUGCGUUUGGAAAGAUUUUUCGGUUGGGGAUGGGCUCGCGGCCUAUCAGCUUGUUGGUGAGGUAAUGGCUCACCAAGGCGUCGACGGGUAGCCGGCCUGAGAGGGUGACCGGCCACACUGGGACUGAGACACGGCCCAGACUCCUACGGGAGGCAGCAGUGGGGAAUAUUGCACAAUGGGCGGAAGCCUGAUGCAGCAACGCCGCGUGAGGGAUGACGGCCUUCGGGUUGUAAACCUCUUUUAGCAGGGAAGAAGCGAAAGUGACGGUACCUGCAGAAAAAGCGCCGGCUAACUACGUGCCAGCAGCCGCGGUAAUACGUAGGGCGCAAGCGUUAUCCGGAAUUAUUGGGCGUAAAGAGCUCGUAGGCGGUUUGUCGCGUCUGCUGUGAAAUCCCGAGGCUCAACCUCGGGCCUGCAGUGGGUACGGGCAGACUAGAGUGCGGUAGGGGAGAUUGGAAUUCCUGGUGUAGCGGUGGAAUGCGCAGAUAUCAGGAGGAACACCGAUGGCGAAGGCAGAUCUCUGGGCCGUAACUGACGCUGAGGAGCGAAAGGGUGGGGAGCAAACAGGCUUAGAUACCCUGGUAGUCCACCCCGUAAACGUUGGGAACUAGUUGUGGGGUCCAUUCCACGGAUUCCGUGACGCAGCUAACGCAUUAA